rnacentral:rRNA from 1 species
GAUGAACGCUAGCUACAGGCUUAACACAUGCAAGUCGAGGGGCAUCAGUUUGGUUUGCUUGCAAACCAAAGCUGGCGACCGGCGCACGGGUGAGUAACACGUAUCCAACCUGCCUCAUACUCGGGGAUAGCCUUUCGAAAGAAAGAUUAAUAUCCGAUAGCAUAUAUUUCCCGCAUGGGUUUUAUAUUAAAGAAAUUCGGUAUGAGAUGGGGAUGCGUUCCAUUAGUUUGUUGGCGGGGUAACGGCCCACCAAGACUACGAUGGAUAGGGGGUUCUGAGGUUAACCCCCCACAUUGGUACUGAGACACGGACCAAACUCCUACGGGAGGCAGCAGUGAGGAAUAUUGGGUCAAUGGACGCAAGUCUGAACCAGCCAUGCCGCGU